GUCAGGAUGGUUGAGUGGUCCAACGCACCAGACUCAAAUUCUGGUCUCCAUAUGGAGGCAUGGGUUCGAAUCCCACUUCUGACA